rnacentral:rRNA from 1 species
AACGAACGCUGGCGGCAUGCCUAACACAUGCCAGUCGAACGAGACCUUCGGGUCUAGUGGCGCACGGGUGCGUAACGCGUGGGAACCUGCCCUUAGGUUCGGAAUAACUCCCCGAAAGGGGUGCUAAUACCGGAUAAUGUCUUCGGACCAAAGAUUUAUCGCCUUUGGAUGGGCCCGUGUUGGAUUAGCUAGUUGGUAGGGUAAAAGCCUACCAAGGCGACGAUCCAUAGCUGGUCUGAGAGGAUGAUCAGCCACACUGGGACUGAGACACGGCCCAGACUCCUACGGGAGGCAGCAGUGGGGAAUAUUGGACAAUGGGCGAAAGCCUGAUCCAGCAAUGCCGCGUGAGUGAUGAAGGCCUUAGGGUUGUAAAGCUCUUUUACCCGGGAUGAUAAUGACAGUACCGGGAGAAUAAGCUCCGGCUAACUCCGUG